UCCCUGGUGGUCCAGUGACUAAGACUCUGCACUCCCAUUUUAGGGGACCCAGGUUCAAUCCCUGGUCAGGAAA
rnacentral:tRNA from 1 species